rnacentral:tRNA from 1 species
CGGUGGUGUGCGCAGUGGUAGCGCACCCGCUUUGGGGGGGGGGUGAGUUCGAGUCUCGCCACCCCGACCA